rnacentral:lncRNA from 1 species
GAUGAAGUAAGGAAAACUAUAUCUUUAAUGAUCCAUAUGAAAAAGAAAAUGAUGACGGUGACAUUGUUAUAGGAUAUAUCAUAGCCAUACAAAAAUAUAAAAGGAUUGAAUAUCAAAUAAUUCUGGAUGAGCCAAGUAUUUAUGGAGGAUCUCUUUCUCAUUCAACCCUAGGAAACAACAAGAGAAGAAGGACAUGUAAAAAUUGAGGAACUAAUUAUAAAGGAGCCAAACAAAUUAGUGGCAUUCAAUGUAGGUGAAAUUAGUAUGCAAACCUCCAACUUCAUUGAUUUGUGGUUUAAAGUCAAUGAGGAGAUCAAAGUACUUUUAAUUAAGUUUGAAUCGAGCAAUUUAGGCAAGUUAUGCCAUAUUCAAGUCGAAAAAGUAAUAUUUUGGAGGAUGGACAAAAUAUGGUACAAAGAUAAUCUACGCAAGAUAAACAACCCUAUUCAAAGUUUUAUGAAAUAUCACAGUCCACAUGCUUGAAACUAUAAAUCAAUAACUAAUGGGAGGCAACCCAAUUCUUAACCUUAAAUUAUUAUUAUUAUUAUUAUUAUUAUUAUUAUUAUUAUUAUUAUUAUAUUAUUUAGGAUUACAUUUUAAAUAUAUGUAUAUUUUUCUAAUUUUCUAAACAAAAAGUCUGCAUUGUUCGUAGUCAGUUAUGGAUUUGCAAUCCUUG